rnacentral:rRNA from 1 species
CAAAUUUUAAAUCUACCUGGUUUCCAGGUCGAGUUGUAAUUUGAAGAAGUGUUUUUUACUUUCCGGGUUGGGUUAAAUCCUUUGGGAUAAGGUAUCAUGGAGGGUGAGAAUCCCGUGUAUACCAACCGCAGGAUYGUUUAAUAUACACUUUCUAAGAGUCGAGUUGUUUGGGAAUGCAGCUCUAAAUGGGUGGUAAAUUUCACCUAAUGCUAAAUAUAAGCGAGAGACCGAUAGCGAACAAGUACCGUGAGGGAAAGAUGAAAAGAACUUUGAAAAGAGAGUUAAAUAGUACGUGAAAUUGUUGAAAGGGAAACGGUUGAAGUCAGUCAUGCCGGCGGGAAUCAACUUAGGGGAAACUCUGAGUGCACUUCUUCGCUUGGCAGGUUAGCGUCGAUUUUGGAUGUCAUAAAAUGACUGGGGGAAGGUAGCUCUUUCGGGAGUGUUAAGCCCUURGUAGAUGUGAUGUCCGGGAUCGAGGAUUGCAACGGAUACCUUUUGGGCUAACCGCCUAGUCUCUAAUACGAAGUUGGGUUAUGGACAGCACGCUGACUGUGAUCUGAUUUUCGGUUAAAAGAUUA